UAGUCCUAGCUGUAAACGAUGAGCACUGGGUUGAGGGGACUUCCACAUCCUCUCGGCCGUAGCGAAAGCGUUAAGUGCUCCGCCUGGGGAGUAUGGUCGCAGGGCUGAAACUCAAAGGAAUUGACGGGGGCUCACACAAGCGGUGGAGGAUGUGGCUUAAUUCGAGGCUACGCGAAGAACCUUAUCCUAGACUUGACAUGCUUGAGAAUCCCUAAGAAAUUAGAGAGUGCCCUUCGGGGAGCUCUUGCACAGGUGCUGCAUGGCUGUCGUCAGCUCGUGUCGUGAGAUGUCGGGUUAAGUCCCUUAACGAGCGAAACCCUUAUCUUUAGUUGCCAGCGGGUAAUGCCGGGGACUCUAAAGAGACUGUCGGCGUAAGCCGCGAGGAAGGUGGGGACGACGUCAAAUCAUCAUGGCCUUUAUGCCUAGGGCGACACACGUGCUACAAUGGCGCGCACAGAGGGUAGCCAGACCGUGAGGUUGAGCCAAUCCCAGAAAGCGCG
rnacentral:rRNA from 1 species